CCGCAGCUCUAAAAGUCAACCCUAUUUAUCUGUUGACCUCUCAUAAGCCGAAUUAACGUAUCUAACUUCCAUCAAUCCUUGAAAACAAACCAUGACUCCCUACAACUUCGUCGAUUUAGCAGAUGCUCCGACAGCCGUGUUUUGGGACACUAAUUGUUGCCCAGUCCCUGCUGACUUACAUUUUAUUCAUGUACUGCGCAACAUUAAACGAUGCCUAUAUGAAAGUUCCUAUAAUGGUAAGGUUAAAUUCAUGGUUUAUGAUAGCACAAGUCCUUCCCUUAUCGAUGAAAAUCCCCCGUAGAGAAUCUGGUGAUCACUCGCUUCCCGGAAGGAGGUGAUCCAUUUGAGAAGUUUAAAAAGAUUUUUGUCGAUAUCAUGGAAUGGUCGAUUGAUAAUCCUACUCCUGCCAAUAUUCUUUACAUCUCAGGAGACAUGAAUACUUAUAUGACCCGUCUCAUCAACCAAUUAGGUGUGGUCUGCUACAACACGCUCUUAUGCGUACGAGAUAGCCUUACUGCCUUUCCUACUACCGGAGGACGUCCAUUCAUCACCAGAGAUUUUUCAUUCGUCAGCAGCGUGUGGUCCUGGUUUGAGUUAUCUCAUGGAAGACCGCCUUUCUUCAACCGGUUUUCUGAUAAGCCGAGUGUUCCCUUGGCGUUCUUAAAGAAGAAGAAAAGGUCACCAAGGCAAAGGAAGGUGCUCGUGGAUCCUGUUAAAAGUGAAGACCGCCUUUCUUCAACCUGUUUUCUAAUAGGCUGAGAGUUUCCUUGGUCACCAACGCAAAGAAUGGUACUCGUGGAUCCUGUUAAAAGUGGCUAAAGGAAGAUCUAUAGAAGAAAAAGCAAAUACUCUGGCUUGAGGGAGAAGAUUACUAAAUAAGUUGGUGUUGUAAAACGUUGUCUUUUACUUAUCUGAACUUUAUGCCUUGGUUUGUAUUUAAAACCUAUCCCUACAUUGGAUCAGGUAUCAAAACAAUGUUAAUAU